AUGCUUAUUACGUUUAUCAAGGAUCUUAUUACGAUCCAGAGAUAGAUAAACAAAUAUCUAAAGCAAUUUGCGUUCUAACUCAGCCACCUUUAAACUACAUUUCAAAAGCACAAUUUGAAGCUUUUAAAAAUGUCCUGGGAUUCGAUGGAAAAUCAAUUGAAACCAUAACGCCUAUUUAUCCUGCCAGAUCUAGAGAAAUACGAGCGACAAAAGGAGUCCUGGUUGAAUUUAUUCCAUUUGGUCGCAUUGUUUACUUACUCCAAUUAGGUUUUUUAUAUCUUUCCAAAAUAUUUGUGUAAGAUACAGCUGCUGUGUACCAUAAUUACCUACCUUAGGUAAACAUUUCCUGAACAAUUACUAAUGCUAUACCUAUUUUAUUUAUAAACGUCUUUCAUAGUUCACUGAAACUGCAAACAAUAA